AUUGAACGCUGGCGGCAUGCCUUACACAUGCAAGUCGAACGGCAGCAUGAUCUAGCUUGCUAGAUUGAUGGCGAGUGGCGAACGGGUGAGUAAUACAUCGGAACGUGCCCUGUAGUGGGGGAUAACUAGUCGAAAGAUUAGCUAAUACCGCAUACGACCUGAGGGUGAAAGUGGGGGACCGCAAGGCCUCAUGCUAUAGGAGCGGCCGAUGUCUGAUUAGCUAGUUGGUGAGGUAAAGGCUCACCAAGGCGACGAUCAGUAGCUGGUCUGAGAGGACGAUCAGCCACACUGGGACUGAGACACGGCCCAGACUCCUACGGGAGGCAGCAGUGGGGAAUUUUGGACAAUGGGCGAAAGCCUGAUCCAGCAAUGCCGCGUGUGUGAAGAAGGCCUUCGGGUUGUAAAGCACUUUUGUCCGGAAAGAAGUGGCUCUGGUUAAUACCUGGGGUCGAUGGCGGUACCGGAAGAAUAAGGACCGGCUAACUACGUG
rnacentral:rRNA from 1 species